AGGAGGAGAGUUUAAUGUUUUUCCGAUAGCACAAUAAAAAAGAUAGAGAAAUGAAUGUUUUGUUGUGUGGCUGUCUGAGAAGUAUUUUUUAAAUUUUUUGUGUUGGAUAAACACCCGAAAUUCUACUUGUAACCAUAAGAAAAUAAAUGAAAAUGGCUACCCGAGAAGUAACAUGCAUAUUUUGUAAACAAACUGUUGAAUAAUUAAAAAAUAUUUUAAAAUCAUUUAUCUUAAAAUUAGACAAAUCCCCAGCAUGAAAAGAACUUUAAUUUAGAUUGUGUUCUUCAAAAUAGAUUCUUUGUAAGAUGUAAUUGCUUUGCAUGGAGAUAGGACCUUGCAUUGAUGCACAUGUAUUUUUGUGCGUUGUUCUGAUGCGUUUAACCAUCAAUAAAUAUCUGGUAUCAUGUUUGAAGUAACGUUUUUAUGAAUAUGGACAAAAAGAGAAAAUAGAAUAAAUCUGACGAAACUAAAAAAAAAGAAUUUUUAAUUCAAAUUUGUUUUUAUACGUUUUGUAUACAAAACAUCUUCAAAACACCUUCUAUGGGAAAAUAUCUAAAGUGUUCUGAAUAAUCGAGCAAACUGGUGUUACAAAGAUAAAGCUGAUGUUUGUUUCAAAAAGAGGUUUGGGGUCGAGAAUGAAAAAAUACAAAACUAAAUCAAAUUUGUUCCAACAUUGAAAAAAUGAAACAACUAUUGAUACUAUCAUGGGCACACUUGUGUUGAAUGUUAUGGGUAUUAACAUAAAUCGAUAAAGAAACCGAUGUGUAACCCAGCCUAAUCGUUGCGUCACAAAAUACGUCAAAAAAUACAUGGCACAAUUUAUUUGUUGCGAUGUACCAACAUUGAGACAGGGCAACCUCACUCACUGUUUUGUUUGAUUCUAAUAAAGCAUCGUUUCCGUCUUGGGGACGGGGUUGAACAUACUGGAGAAGAAUCACCUAAGAUACAAAACUUGGCGAAUAACCACUGAUGUUAAAAGUAACUUAUUGUUAAGAAUACAGUUGUGUUUCAAUGACACCACCCCAUCCAUAAAUGAAGACGAAUUCAUCAAAAUAAAUGUUGUUUCUGUAUCACUACCGGUCAUUCCCUUGACACAACGACACAACACUACGAAAUGACAUCAUUUGACGCUAAGAAACUGUCAACACGAAAACGAGGUGGAUACAGACCCGAAUAAAGCCUGGCUGAAGACUUUACUUAAUUUCUAAACUAUACAAUGAAAAAUUUAAAUUCUUGAAAUAUUAUUUUUGCACCACAAGGCUAGAAUUUUACCAUAGAUUGUACCACCUAAAAAAACGGGGUCAUAUCUCUGACAACUAAAGGUUAGGGUUGUUAUUUUCUCUCAGUUACAUCACAACCUUCUACGUACGAAGAAAGAAAAAGCACGUAAUCCUCUAAGUACACGCAAUAUUUAUUAUGCGAUCAUGCGAUGACGUCAUUCUAAAUGACAUUUCCUAAUAUGGUAUCAAGAAGUAAUAUGUCGUGUCCGUUAUUCAUGGCAAAUAUCACUUCAUGGAAGAUGGUUUUAAAAAUAUCCCUCCACUGUGCAUUCAGCUAGAGAUGCGUUUAACAAGAACGAUAGAAAAUGAUGAAUGUUUUGUUAUCAAGUGUCACUUUCUUAUGAUAUGCAGGCACACGCCUCACGAAAAGGUUACGAUGGCCUACAUUUUAUUAUAUGCGAUGGAGAGCAAGGUGUGGACAGGUGUAUUACGCACUUCUUAUGUUUAUAUCUAGAUAUUCUUGGACAGUUUUGAAUACGAACUAUAAAAGCAUUGGAAUUUAAGUUAUUUAAGAAAUUCCAAAUAUCUUAACUCAAGUGUUUUUCUUUAAUCGGACAUGCAAUGUUUUAAACGAAAAAAAAUAUAUGCAUAUCGGUUGGAGGUUUAUUAUCUUAGGUCGUCAAUGUUCUGUUUGACAAAUACUGCAGACUUUGUGUCUUUUGCUAACUUUUAUCGAAGCUUGUAAUGUAUGCUUUGCGAAGUAUUACAUUCUUCAGACAGGGGUAACUUUUGUAAAUUUUUGAAUGUGCUGAUCUGCUUGUAUGAGUGAUGUAAUUAUUUAUUACAUAUAUUUCCGUUACCAGGUGGUUACUAAGGUGUACUAAGCUAAUGAGAUAGAUGGCUCACAGGGCUAACAGACAUUUAAAGGAAAGAUCAUUCCAUUCCAAUAACGUCAUAACAGUGUAUCCAUUACUUGGAAAUCUACAAAUGCCAUAUUCCAACUUUGUAGCUACCAAGUUUAAUGACAUGAACAUAAAUAUUCAAGAACAUCAGAUGCUUUCAUCUUUAUCAUUCAGAAAUAACAAACUUUAUUACAAAUAUGAUAUCAUUUUUAAUCCCAAUAACAACAUCAAUUUAUUGUUUUACUUUAAAUAUGUUUGUAGUUAGACUUUUUACAAAUAUGCCAAACUUUAUCAUCCAGGCAUAAGUAUUUCCGGAUUUAUGAACCGCGGGCACUUUAUGCCCCCCUCUCCCCUGGGUACAAGUUACUACAAGAGCAGAAUUUAGAUACCAAUAAGCACGUUUAACUCUGCACAUAAGCGCUAUUGGGCACUCUCUGGUAUUUAAAUAUCAGAAACUGAAUAAUUUUUUCGUAUUUUAAUUAAAUUAUUUUAAAAUACUUUUACAUCAUGUAGACAUUACCAAUGAUCUUUACUAAAAUAUUCAGUAUUUUAAGAGUUUG